rnacentral:rRNA from 1 species
UACGGAGGGUGCAAGCGUUAUCCGGAUUCACUGGGUUUAAAGGGUGCGUAGGCGGGCAGGUAAGUCAGUGGUGAAAUCUUUGGGCUUAACCCGAAAACUGCCAUUGAUACUAUCUGUCUUGAAUAUUGUGGAGGUGAGCGGAAUAUGUCAUGUAGCGGUGAAAUGCUUAGAUAUGACAUAGAACACCCAUUGCGAAGGCAGCUCACUACGCAUAUAUUGACGCUGAUGCACGAAAGCGUGGGGAGCAAACAGG